rnacentral:rRNA from 1 species
CGGAACGUGUCCUGUAGUGGGGGAUAGCCCGGCGAAAGCCGGAUUAAUACCGCAUACGCUCUACGGAGGAAAGGGGGGGAUCUUAGGACCUCUCGCUACAGGGGCGGCCGAUGGCGGAUUAGCUAGUUGGUGGGGUAAAGGCCUACCAAGGCGACGAUCCGUAGCUGGUCUGAGAGGACGACCAGCCACACUGGGACUGAGACACGGCCCAGACUCCUACGGGAGGCAGCAGUGGGGAAUUUUGGACAAUGGGGGCAACCCUGAUCCAGCAAUGCCGCGUGUGUGAAGAAGGCCUUCGGGUUGUAAAGCACUUUUGUCCGGAAAGAAAUCCUUUGGGCUAAUACCUUGAGGGGAUGACGGUACCGGAAGAAUAAGCACCGGCUAACUACGUGCCAGCAGCCGCGGUAAUACGUAGGGUGCAAGCGUUAAUCGGAAUUACUGGGCGUAAAGCGUGCGCAGGCGGUUCGCUAAGACAGAUGUGAAAUCCCCGGGCUUAACCUGGGAACUGCAUUUGUGACUGGCGGGCUAGAGUAUGGCAGAGGGGGGUAGAAUUCCACGUGUAGCAGUGAAAUGCGUAGAGAUGUGGAGGAAUACCGAUGGCGAAGGCAGCCCCCUGGGCCAAUACUGACGCUCA